rnacentral:lncRNA from 1 species
UUAUUCUUAUUGGUGAAAUAUUUAAAGUGUUCUCCCUGAGACUGGGCAUGAAGCAAAGAUGCUAUCUUUUCUAUUCAACAUUGUACUAGAGGUCCUAGCCAGUGCAAUAAGGCAAGAGAAAUAAAUAAAAGGCUCACAAUCUCAUUUAUUCAAAAUUAUUUACCUGGAAACCCCAACUAUUUGAAACAAAGCUGGUAAUCUGGAAGACUAACAUUCUCUUAUAAAGCAAUCUAAAAAGGUCUUGGAGCAGCAAAGAUGCCACAAAGCCUAUGCUCUUCACACACAGAGUCCCUUAAGCCCUCAUCCUGAAGCUACGUACAAUCCUAAUAAAUGGCUCCAUUUAUUUUCCAAGCCCACCUUGGAAAAUGGCAAGAGAUUGGCAAACCAAACAAAACCAAUGUUAGCUACCAGCCUAAAAGGAAAGAACACGCAUAAACCAUAAAACGUAGAUGCAGCAGUUUAAAAAAACAGUGCUUAUAAAUCACUUAUUAAAAGGGCAAACAGCUCCACACCUCAGCAGCCCUGAGGGCACUGCAGUGCAGGACAAUAAUUGACACUUGUAAUAAUGACUUUGAGUCAUCAGGAAAAGAUAAGAUUAUGCUUAUGACUCACUGCUUAAGAAGGCAGGAAAUUAUAUUUUGUAUUAAAGGUUUUUAAUGUCUGAUUUUAAAGAAGUUUGGGUUAUUUAUAUGGAGAAAUUUUAGUGUUAGGAAAUUACUUUAUAGGUAAUAUCUGAUUUCUUUUACAACCUAACCACUAAGGUUUUUCAUGGCUUAAGCAGUACUUGGCCAGGAAACAGAAGUCAAUUUCACAAGUGUUUGGAUUGAGCACCUGUGAUACUUGAGUCAUAAUGACGGGCUCUGCUCCAGGCACUCAGUCCAGGGAUGUUCUUUUUUUUUUCAGAGUUGUUACUAUUUAAAGGCAGCUGUGGCUUGGCCACGUGAGCAUACUGGGCUGAAAAUGGUAAGCAGGAUUUGUAAUUUCUUCUAAGUCGAGUCGACCCUUUGAUGACUCUGCUCCCCUGGAACUCUGAUAAAGGUAAAAUGUCAACUCAGUUUCCAGGCAAAACAUCUGAUGACCACAUCUGGACCUGGAGGACUAUGAAUGAACUAUAAAUACAUGGUGGGAGCCACCACUUUAGGUUUCCCCCUGUGCGAUGAGUUCUUUUAACUGGACAUACCCUUAACUGGGUAUCAUGUGACUGCUAAGAGAGAUACUAAUCCUAUGUAGAACACGGACUUCUAAGCCAAGCUGGCUAUGACACCCAUCUGCAUGAAUCUCAUUCUCUCCAACUUAAACUGUCAUUUAGGGGAACAGUAAGACCAGUUCUUGGACUGCUUAGAGUAUACCACCAAGGAGAAGAGAACUACCUAAUGCUGCCCUGCGAGCUUGCUGUGUUUCCUGUCUGACAUCCUGCUAAGUGAAUCCAUUGCCAAGAGCAGCUUACUGUAGGCCUGUGUGAGUCUAAAGGCCUAGAUGAACCUAAAAAGAAGCCCUGGUGGGCAUUAUAGAUAAGGUCAGGCCAGAGCUCCUCCACUUUCCUCAAAUGAAGGCUUCUGGACUAAAUGAUCCAGCAACUACCACCGGCUUGACCUCUCUGGAACAAGCUUAGAUUUAACAGAGAACAAACAUCAAUCCAGAGAGAGAAAUCCAAAGGCGGGAUCAGUGUGGCUUACUGUGCCAGUCUUUUCCUCAGAUCUUUGAUUUGGUCAUUCUUCUUGGUAAGAAUCUCUUUCAUGUUUCGAUAAGCUGCUGUUUGCUGAAAUUUCUUUUCUAAUUCCUGCUUAGUAAAAAAUGUCAGCCCAUUACUAAAAAAAUAGUUAAGGAAAGAG